rnacentral:rRNA from 1 species
CGUGUAGGCGGCCAGAUAGGUCGGUUGUGAAAACUGGAGGCUCAACCUCCAGACGUCGACCGAAACCCUCUGGCUAGAGUCCGGAAGAGGGGAAUGGAAUUCCUGGUGUAGCGGUGAAAUGCGCAGAUAUCAGGAAGAACACCCGUGGCGAAGGCGGUUCUCUGGGACGGUACUGACGCUGAGACGCGAAAGCGUGGGGAGCGAACA